rnacentral:lncRNA from 1 species
GCGCUAUCUCAUGCGUCACCAGGAUGGAGCUGAACAGAAAGGAAGUGCAGCUCACUUGGACAAAACUUUGUUGAGCCCUCAGUGUAGGAUUUACAACUCCUCAAGUUGACAGGAGUGUACUGUGGGUGGCAACAUGGCCUUUCCCCUGAUGCUUCUGACAGGGUGAGCAGGAAGAAUCUGGCAAGGAGCAGUUUUGGCCCUACUUGUCAGAGAAAGACACCUUUGCUCAUGUUGGGAAGGGAGCAGUGGUUUGCCUGUCUACAAAUCCACUUUGGGAUGGUGAUGGUUGGGGUUAAAGUCCGACAAACUUCAUGCUCACAAAAAGAGGCUGACAAAGCAAAGCAGAAAGAGAAGAGUUUUCAAAAGACUUUCAUCUGAGAAACAAGGCAGCACUAUUCAAAAAUGACUAGCUCUCUAUUUGCUUGUAAUCCCCAAGGCUAGCUCUCUGCUGGCAGGCUGCAUGCUAAUGCCUUAUUAGCUUUCAUUUGGUGCUCUCAUCCCGCUGCAAGAGAAAAGGAGAGAGACAGAAGAGUUUUCAGCACUUUCAGAAGUCCCUCCUCUACUGUAAUAAAGCUGCCUGCAUUCCAGCAGCACUUCUUUCUAACGAGAACAAGACUUGCCUGAUGGAUGGCUGCAGAGAAAUUGGGGAAUUCAUGACCCGGAUGGCCAGUUUCAUAUGGAAUGAGCUAUUACAGGGAGCUGCAUUUAAGGCAGUUGGUGUAAGAAUGAUACAGGAAAACUCAAUCCAGAGGAUCUGUGAUUUGUACAGUUUGCUGGUUUUCCUUUUGAGGAGCUGGUCCAGGUAAUAUCACUGCUAGGAGGACAGCAAUGAAUCUGAGCUAUUACUGAAACAGAAAGUGGCAGUAAUACAGCAUAGAGGAAGGGAAACCAUACCUUGUGCUGAGCUCCUCUAUCUGCGAUUCUAGAGGCAGCUUGGACAGCUGGCCUGCAGAGAGCUCCUUCCUAUCACCCAUGUUCAAGGACAGCCUUGACUGACCUGCAGACUGGCCUGGAAAUUUCAUCACAAAAUGGAGUGUUAGUAAAACAAGCAACACAAGCAACCUUUUUCACCUUGU